CUCUGACGCCACUUCCGCUCUGGGGACGACAUCUUCCCGGCAGGCGGAGCGCAGGGCGGGGAAAGGGGAGGGCUGGGUCGGCAUGGCUGCGCCGGGGAGGAGGGACCCGCGUCCGCUCUGCUGUCUGGUGCUGGCUGCUGUCGUGCUGCUUUGCUGGGGCUUCGUCCUCUAUGGGGCACGGGUGGCUGCCCUGCGGCAGCUGGAGAGCAGCCUCCUGGCCCAGGGGCUGCCCUAGGCAAUGGCAGAGCGCGUGGACACCACUGGCAGCUCAGCGUUGUUUCUGACGGUACAGAGGGAUCCAUCGGAAGACUGGAGGAGUCCUGUGGCCAGUUUGGCAAACAAAGCAUAAAUAGCUCUUAGGAAAGAGAAAGUAAAUAAAGCGUAAACAGUUAUUAGGAAAGAGAACAAGGUCUCUCCUUACUGAUUUCUAGUAGCACAUAUCUGCGAGGGACACACGUACCCAUAUGCGGAAGGAAAGGACACGGACAGCUCUACGCGCUGCCACAGCACCUGCAUGUAGUACCACCAGAACUCGCAUACAACAUGAGCAGAGCCAGCCGUGUUCUUUCUCUGCACCCGCACCACGCCAGAGUCAGUGUCAAGGGUCUAAGGAACAACCUCAGCUCCACAUCCUGACAUUUGCCUGAAACCAUGCCAGGAUGGUGGCAGCAGCAAGGAGCAACUUGUUUCUUCCAGGUAACAUGGUAGUGGGAUCAAAAGCCCCCACAGAGGUUGGGAAAUAAUCUCCUUCAAGUCUAGUGGGAGGACUGUCCUGCUUUGAGGUAAACAAAACCCACUUUCUGUGUAGUAAUUUUACUUCUUAGCUAGGCCUCUUCUAACUGUCUGAAAUUAACAGCAUAUCGUGCAGACAGCUUGCAGCUUAUGCCUCUGCAGCUCACCCUUCUGCUUGCCUCUGCUACUUGCUCAAUAAUGGUAGCUCUUUCAGGAAAGCAAUUAAAAUCAUGUGCUUCCCAAAGAUUUGAAACUGCCACCUCAGCAAGAAAAGCCUCUGUGUUGUGCCACCAAAAUCAUUAUAAAACGUGCUCUGGAGAGCUCCAGCUAACCAGAGAAAUCCCAGAGAAUUGAAUUUUAGAUUCAGAUCAGUUUCCCACAUUGAGGUAAAUCUUCACUCUGAUUCUUCUGCCCCGAAGUUACACAUUGCCUUGAAGCCAAGGCGAAAAGGAUCAUUGACCAGGAUCAAGCUCCUGAGACAUCGACUGAAAAUAAUUUAAGAAGAUCACUAGUAGAUAUCUAGUAUUUAGAAAUAAGAGAAUAUAAACUCAACAUAUCAACAUAGCAGUGUUAAAAAUUUACUUUCUAUGCAGUUUUGAUGCCAGUUGUCUCAUGUCUCUGUACACUGAGCUACCUGUCUCUGAAGAAGCUGUCUCUGAAGCUGAUCAUUUAUGUUCUAUGCUCUACCUCCUCUUUUCUUUCAAACUGUUCAGCUCGUGCUCACGUGCUUGCUCACAGAAGUCAAGAAGCACAUGCAAACCCUCUCAGCUUGCUUCUGGGAGGUCACAAGAAGGCCCUGGACCCAGUGCUCAGCAUCCAUCACCCCCUCCUCGCCCACGAAGAGGCAGUGCAGAGCAGAGACCGUGUGUUUCCUGUCACUUUCAAAAUGGUACAGCAAAUAACUAUUCCAAUGAGAUCACCAGAGAUGGCUAUUUUGCCAGCGCUGUCAUCCCUAAAGAAAUAUAUUCAUAAUGCUGAUGAAAUCCCCCUCAGAUCUUUUUUUUUUCUCUUUUCUUUUUAAUCCUUUUUAAUAAAGCAUAGCUUAUUUAUCAGAGCAAGGCUG